rnacentral:rRNA from 1 species
UUGACCUCGGAUCAGGUAGGGAUACCCGCUGAACUUAAGCAUAUCAAUAAGCGGAGGAAAAGAAACCAACCGGGAUUGCCUCAGUAACGGCGAGUGAAGCGGCAAGAGCUCAAAUUUGAAAGCUGGCCCCUCCGGGGUCCGCGUUGUAAUUUGCAGAGGAUGCUUCGGGUGCGGCCCCUGUCUAAGUGCCCUGGAACGGGCCGUCAGAGAGGGUGAGAAUCCCGUCUUGGGCAGGGUGCCCGUGCCCGUGUGAAGCUCCUUCGACGAGUCGAGUUGUUUGGGAAUGCAGCUCUAAAUGGGUGGUAAAUUUCAUCUAAAGCUAAAUACCGGCCGGAGACCGAUAGCGCACAAGUAGAGUGAUCGAAAGAUGAAAAGCACUUUGAAAAGAGAGUUAAACAGCACGUGAAAUUGUUGAAAGGGAAGCGCUUGCGACCAGACUCGGCCCCGGGGUUCAGCCAGCACUCGUGCUGGUGUACUUCCCCGGGGGCGGGCCAGCGUCGGUUUGGGCGGCCGGUCAAAGGCCCCAGGAAUGUAUCACCCUCCGGGGUUGUCUUAUAGCCUGGGGUGCAAUGCGGCCAGCCUGGACCGAGGAACGCGCUUCGGCACGGACGCUGGCGUAAUGGUCGCAAACGACC